ensembl:lncRNA
GUCUCCACCAGCGGCGGGUCCAGCUCCAGGCUGUCCCGCAGCGCGUGCUGUGGUGGGAAGUCUCCACCCGGCGUCGGGUCCAGCUCACCUCCGGGCCGUCCGGCAGGCAGUCGCGCUGCGCACCACCAGGCAUCGGCGAAGUUCCUGAGUGGCUGAGGGCGCGGGGCAGGCCUGCGGGUCACCCUGCCCUGGCCAAGGACGACCUUGGACACGUGUCCCCCAGGCCGUGGCGCCCGAGCUCGGCCGCCGUCCAGCAUGGCUGUGUGAUACAGGGGUUCGAUUCCUGAUCCAGAAGAUCCCACUUGCGCAGCACAGCUGAGCCCAGGCACCACAACUCCUGAGCCUGUGAUCCUGAGCCUGGGAGCCGAACCCACUCAGCCCACGUGUUGCAGCUACGAAGCCCGCUUGCCUCAGAGCCCGCGCUGCAAACCUACAGGAGCCGCUGCAAUGAGAAGCCUGCGUGCAGCAAGGAGAGAAAAGCCCCAGCAGCGCUGAUGAACCAGCGCAGCCAAAGUAACAAAUAAGUAAAAUUGUUUCUAAAAGUCAUCAAUCCGGGAGGCGUAAGGAGAAGAAUCACGCCCCCCUCUCUGUGGCUGUUGCUGCUGUAGACAGGCGCUAUCCAGGGGAUGAGGGGCAGGCGACUCGUCCUCAGGGACCACUCCCCCCCAGGAGCCCGGUGGUGGUCGGGGGGCUGUGCCACCCCCACUGGAGCCAUUACCCUUUUGAACUAUCUGUUGGGGGUGGGGGGCAGAUCAGAGGGUUAAAACAGGAAGAAGGAGCUGAAUUACCCCCAGGCUCCCGGGAAACCCACGAGAAUCAGACGGGAGGAACUGCCACGAAGAUCACCGAGCACAUGGCUGGGAAACAGAACUAAAACAUGAAAACGGAUCGUCUUAUUACAGAUGGUCACGAAUGAGAAGCCAGCGUGGGAGAAGGAAGCCCAGGUGAUGGUCGGCCCAGACAAGGGGGUCAGCUCCGGAGUGGACUCUGAGAAGGACCCCACACCUGCGGAGGGGCCUCUCGCAGCCCUCCUGAGGACACGCGGUCACAGGCAAACGCAGAAACACCCGCGCGGCCCUGGAUGCCGAGGCAGAACCCAGGACGCCAGCCUGCAGCCUGAGCGAGUCUUCGGAGUUUCCGGGCCCAGCGCCGCCUGGAACGGCGCCCGCGGGUGGACUAGAGAGAUGCUCAGCUGCGGGCAGAGAGGACCAAGGCCGUGCCGCCGUCUGCAGAGGGCACGGGCAUGCCAGGUCCCCGGAGGAGCUGCAGCCUCACUGUGCAUCGCAGGCUCAUUCCCUCAGUGAGUCUAUGAAACCCAAAUAGACACCACGAUAAAGAGAAUAAAUUUAUUUUCUACACAAGCGCUGUUUGUCUUCCACAUGCUGCUAACAUCUGUUUGAUACUUAUUCAAUAUCCAGUAAAACUAGUGAUUAAUCUAGGUUUUCUUUAAAAAACUAGACACAUGGCAAUGAUCCCAUUUUGUUCCCAGGGAAGACGGAGGACACAGCGUGGCUCUGCUGGCCUGUCCCCUUGUCCUCCGCCGGCAGUGACGCGGCUGCAGGCUCACAGCACAAGCGUGCUCUGGCCCCAGACACCACCCGGCAGAUCAGCGGCCUCUCCCAGUGCCCGCCUGCUUCCUUGGCACGCCCUGCUCGCCCAGGCGGGCACCCCAGACGCCUGCCCAACCCCAGCCCAGAGUGCUGCAUCCAGUGGUCCCGGAAGACCCCCACGCCAGGAAUGGCCGCUGACCGGCUGAAGACCACGGCCACUUUCCAGGCUGACCCCACGCCAGGAAUGGCCGCUGACCGGCUGAAGGCCACGGCCACUUUCCAGGCUGGGAACUUGGAGCAACAAAGCAAAGCCCUCUCCAGUCUCCUUCCUGGAGGGUCUCAGAAGACGCCCCCGCUUGUCAUCUCAAAGGGGCUCAGAGCCCCAGGUCUGGCCCCUGGCACUUCUGGAGUAGGCUGGGGAUCCUGCCAACAGCCAGGCGGUCGGGCCGGCCCCCGCAGUGGGGGAGCAGGCUGCCCCGAAGUGCGCUCGGGCCUGGAGGCCAAGGGCACAGCCACCAGCAUAAGGCUGGCCUCCCCAUAGCCCAGACAUGGUGACGUCCCUCCCGAGCCCACGCUGCAGCCCGAAACCCCUCCCUCCACAGAGACCGCCUCGCCCUCAGCAGCUCAGGGGCACAGCAGCUGCUCUCAGCCCCAGCUGUUCACUGCCCUGGACCACCGACGACUCCCUCAGGACUUCUGACUUAGCAGACGGGUUAGGCCGGCUCCUGGCCCAGGUACAGCCAAAGACUCGCCCCCUCACCCCAGGGAGAGACGCCAGGAGGGUCCUUGCAGCCCCUCCCCGUUCCAUCAACAAGGGUUAAUUAAAACGCAUGUGGUUCCGAGAAGUGACUGGAAGGGGGGCUGUGGUCUAUUAACUUAUCGUCUCCACUUCCACUGGGCGCGGGGUUCACACAUCUGCAGAUCAUCAGAGCGGAGAUUUCUGGCAAAGGAUGGCUUUGGUCCCCUGCAAGACGGUGUUUCCCAGGUGAACGCCCUAAACGGAGUGGUUAAAAGUGAAAAGCAUAAAUACCCACCCACCAAACGGAGUAAAAAUGGAAAUGUCUCCUGCUUGCGGAGGUGAGCCCGGAGCUUUGCAUCCGUUAACCUUCCCUGGGGGGCCUCUCGUCCCUUGCGAUGAUGGGCGGCCACCGAGACGGCGGACGGCCUGACCUUUAUUCAGCUAAAAGCAUGGGGCCCUGGGUGUUAAGUGGAUGUCACUCCGGGAUGGAAUUGAUCCUAGAAUGAGAAGCUCUGGAGCUGUCUUAGAUAAUGUGAUGGCAAAUGGACUCGGUGUGCUUGGCUCGGGCAAAUUAAACAAAACCCAAUGCAAAUAGUCCUUCCCCUGCUGAGCUGCUUCAGAGACAAGCAGCUCCUCUCCUCUGAAAGAAGGCCUGGUCCUCGGAGACCCAGCGGCUUUCACAGGAUUUUGGAGGGAAAUCCCUGAGCUUGCUGCACAAGGAAACUCCUGGGGGCAGUCAGGUCGACCUUAAUGUCUUCACUCUGAAGGAGUGGCUUUGAAUCUGAAAAAAUAAAUAUACGUAUAUUAAAAUAGUUAAGGAUACUUUUAAGAAGAUUCACAGGAAAGCACUUGCCCCACCAAAAUCAAACAAAGAACGGCAGGCGGUAACAUGGACACAGGCCCCUUCUCAGAGACGGCAGUCACCAACACGGGGUAAACGGCCAAAGCCACGUAAAGACACCGGGAAGCCCGCAGAGCACACGGAGGAGAGAGGCUCAAGCUCGGGGAAAGGCGUCUGGGAAGAGGAGGCGUCAGGGCCCGUCUUCCUGGACCACCACCUUCAGGGAGCACAGAAGGCAAGGCCCGGCCGGCCAGGCCGACAGGCCCGGGGUCAGUGUCCAGGCCCCCCACCCCGUCCAGCAGACUCACCACCUACAGGGAGCGCAGAAGGCAAGGCCCGGCCGGCCAGGCUGACAGGCCCGGGGUCAGUGUCCAGCAGAUUCCCCUUCUGGGCCUUGGGGCAGCCUCCAGGGCCCUGAACGAGAAAUCUUUUUAGGACAAAGCCAAGUCAAAGCCACAGUAUCAUGAUUUCUGAUAAAUUAAUGCUGUAUGCAGAAGUAAAGACAAGGGGAAAAUCAAACGUGGUUGGGGUGUAUUUAAAAUGUGUCGCAUUUAAUUCACACCUAAGUUGUGACUUGUUUCUUUUGCUUUGCUGAAAAGGUCUUCCCAUUUUUUAAGCUGUCAAAGGAAAGAGCAAGUGAAGGGAAAUUAGAAAUAAAGUAAGGACUUCCUGUGGUGGUCCAGACGUUAAGACUGCGCCCUCCCAGCGCAGGGGCCUGGGUUUGAUCCCGGUCAGGAAACCACAUGCUUAACCAGGAGUUCACGCACCACAAUGAGGACCCGGUGCAGUCAAAUAAAGUGAUUAACUGAAAUUUAAAAAAAAAGAAAAAGAAAAUAACGGAUUAGAGAGUGAUGUUGCCGUUCUUCCAAAAGGUACACAUAGAAAUGCCGCACGACCCAGUGAUUCCACUCCUCGGCUUUACCCGGGAGACAUGGGACAGCAGACGGUGGGGACAGCCCCAGGGUCCUCAGCUGAGGACACAGAGGCAGUCUGUCCAUAAAGUGCGUGGACUGACCAUCCGGCCUUAAGAAGGGAUGGAGCCUCACGCUCGCUGCAGCACCGUGAACCCUGCAGACAGUCUGCUCAGUGAAGGGUGCUGGAUGCAAAGGGCAGAUACUGUGUGAAUCCAUUUAUGGGAAAUGUCAGGACAGGCAAACCCACGGAGACAGAAAGCAGGUUUUGCUUCCAGGGGCUGGGGGAAGACAGGAGGGGCGUCAGAGCUGCACGGGUAGGGAGGAACCCUUGGAGUGAUGACGUGUUUCAGAACGCUAUAGGGGUGGUGGUCCCAAAAUACCGUGAGUGUGCCACACACCCCCGAACCGUUCACUUUAAAAUGGUCGUGUUACACGAAUCCCACUUCAGUAAAAUGAAACAAGUCGUGGAAGUUACGGAGAUGAUCCUAAGAACUGCCAGAGCUGUGUGCAAACUCAGAAGCCUCCCCAGGCCAAGGUGCAGGCAGUCCCUGACUCCAGGCAAUGGCCCGUGUCCCCCAGGCUUGAUCCCCACGAGGGUGGCAUCCUGAUGAUGGCCUCUUGCCCCUUCAGACUAACUCAGUCUGGCAGGGACACAGACGUCAGUGCUCAGCAGGCUGAGAGCAGGCGGAAUGCUGGUCCCCCUCUGCUGACGCCCUUGGCCAUUCCCCACACCCCCACCCGUUAUACGCAGAGCUCUCAUUUGAUGCCUGAUAACCCAGUACAGGUCAAGUCUCACCUGCCAUGAGUCCUUCCCACUUGCAUCAGAGAACUGGCUUAUGGUUUCAAGAGUUUGUUCGUGGUCCCAAAUUAUUUGUAUGUCUGUCUGUCUGUGGGGCCGGCGGGGCAGCCUCUCCCUCUUCUGGUCUCAGAGAAAGUCCCUUUCGGUCACAGGCGAGCCUGGGUUUGCCAUCUGAGCAGGCUCGGCCCGCAUGCCCACUUAAUCUAAACCAUUAAGAUGUUCUGGGCGGAUCAGAUCGUUUCGGGCCGCACGCCGUCCCCGGGCCCAGGCACCCAACAGCCGCCACGUCUGACUACACGGUGCCGCGCUGAGCUGACUGGCCGUGCGGGGCUGUUUGCGUGGGCGAUGAGGGUGCAGUGAUCCAGAAAGAACGCGGGUCCAGGCAGGCAGCUCUUUCCCUAACACCCUGCUCCGCAGUCAGGAAAUACAGCGCCCGCACCCCUGGGGGUGUGAACACUCUGUUAAAACCAGCAACCAGGAGGGAAGAGAUCCAGAGAUGUGGCCGCAUCACGGAUGCAGAG